CAGUCAGUCCAAUAAGUCAAUUCCAGGUGCACAAUAAAGCUUAGGCUGUGACUACGUAGAAACUCUUUGAUAAAUCACAUGUGACCAAGAGGGUGGUUCCAGAGCUAACAGGCCUAGAAUCUAGUGUGGUCUCUGACUGAGAUAGCAGAGGUCAUCAGGUUAGAGAGCACAUGUGACAUCUCCCAGAUGGGGGAUAUCCUUCUGUAUAUAUGUUUCUCUUAUUGGGUAAUGAAUAAAACACUGUUUGGCUAGCGACCAGGCAGGAAGGAUAGGUGGGGCUAUCAGGUGAGGAGAAUUCUGGGAAAGGGAGGCAGAAAGAUGAUGUGCCAGCAUUCUCCACUAAGAUAAGACCACAUGGAAAUACAUAGAUUAAUAGCAAUGGGUUAAUAAUUAACACAGAGCUAGCCAAUCAAUAAGUAGCCCAAGCCAUCGGCCAACAGUUUAAUAAUUAAUAUAGUGUCUGUUUAUUUGGGGUUAAUGGCUGUGGGACCAGGCUGGAGAGAAAACCAGCAACAUCUCCCCUAAGGAUGGGUAUACCACACAACCCUACAGGACAAGCAGUCAUCGAAAGGUCUAACAGGACACUUAAGGAGAUGCUCCAUAGGCAAGCUGGAGAAGAAAAUCUUUGGAUACCAUCAAAAUUGAUCAAGAUUCGAGUUGAGGGAGACAACCCCCUCGACAAGGAUGACUGACAGCCAUCAAGACCCAGACUGACAGCAAUCCCUGCAUGCUCCGGAAAAGGAAUUAGACUACACCUUCCCGACUACACUGGAUUCAACUCACUCCGUUUCGACUGACACUCCAACCAGAACCUCGAGUAACGACUUCAAUCAAGUUGAGGAUUUCAACGUAGAUCUUCAAUCAAACAAAUCAUAUAACAUGGACUAGACAUAACUCAUUAAAGACUUUCCCUAUACUGACAUUUUUUUCCACAGAGCCCCCACAUGACCAUCUUCGUCCCUUUUCAGCAGGAAGUAACCUAGAAGAUGCUACGCCCCCGUUCCCCAUUAUUGUGUAUUAGGGUAGUGUAAGCCUAGUUAAGAAUAACCUUCUUAUUGUUUAGAGUUGGGAUUGGAAGAAGGUGUUCAAGUUAGACACUUUUUUCACAUGACUUUAAGACUUAGCUAGAAUAGACAUAGGAUGUAUCAUAGCAGAUUAUUGUAUAUUCUUGUAUUCCACCCUUAUGAUUGUUAGUUUUGGAUAUUUUACACUAUUAAGUUUUAAUCCUCUCUUAGACUAAAAGGGGAAUUGUAGGGAGUCACCCUAGCCCCGCCCAAUAGUCCUGGGGCAGGUACCAGGUGGACCUGGGGACUCGCCCAUAAGGGCGGGGUGAAGGAAAGCCGGGAUGACGUAAAGGGGGCUUCUUAAGGGACUGCACGUGGGGACGGGGCUCUCUCUUUGUUCUGGCCACGCUGGCUGGGUUCUUAACCUAGCUCUGGCCUGUGUUUCACCCGGCUGUGCUUGGAAAUAAAGAGACCAUAAUCCAAUACAUACCCUCUCCACCAGACAGUAGCUUUUAGCUACUUUCGGAACUCACUAUGGGUGUACUACAGCUUAUGUAAUAACACUGCUUCCUCCAUUUGUUUGUCUUAUUUUAAAAUUACAUUAAAAAUACAUUUAUGUAUAUGUGUUCAACCAUGCCUCUCAGUGUACAUUCCUCAACACCAGGAUAAUGAGUGUGUGUGUGGGGGUACAUGCAUGUGCAUUCCUGUACACACCACAGUGCACAUGGAGUGAUCAGAGGACAGCUCAGAGGAGCUGACUCUCUCCAACAUAUGAG
ensembl:lncRNA